rnacentral:lncRNA from 1 species
CAUCAAAAGUGAAGUCUUCCCUUUGGCAAAGGACAAAGGGAACACCGCGCGGCACAGAGUAUGCAGUAAGCGUACGCGCUAUCCGAUCCGAGGCCUCGAUGUCCCUCGUGCUCAGCUCGAUCGAGGCAUUCAUGUGCACUCGAUUCGGAUCGUUCCACAUCUCCCGGCUCCCGGGAAGAAAUUCAGAAGUUAUGAAAAUAAACUCCCG